GGCCAGCUUCUGCCAGGGCUGGCAGAAAGAGGGGGUGGCAUGGCACGGAGCCGCAGUGGGUGGAGGACUGGCUUCCACUGCUGUGCCUGAGGAAGCCGCGGCUGUUUCUGGGUGGGAUGAGAGUAGUGGGAGGGGGAUACUGGCCUUGUGAGAAGAAAAGGGAAGUGUCUGUUUGAGAGGUUUUUGAAUUAGUAAAGGAGGACAGGCGCAAACUCCAAGCGCUUCACUUGCACCCGGGACCAAACCCCAAUCCCAGUGGCUCCCUGAGGCCGCCCCGCUCCGUCCCGCCCCGCUGACAGCGGCUGGGCUGGUGAAGGCUCUAUACGGACACACCUCUGGGGACGGGGAACCCACUGCUCCCAGCUAAAGCAACCCUGUUUCCUGGCCCGCCUCAGACAGGGCUGCAGGCCUUGUUUGAGCCCCUUUCAGGGCACUUGGCCUUGGAUUGUCUGUGGCUGUGCCUGGUCCGCUGUGACUUCCUUUCUACUUGAGCCUUGCUAAGGCAGACUCUACUCCCUCACUCGUAAGCAGCCAGGCGUCCAGCAGGUCCUCCAACGUCGAUCUUGGCCCUAAGACGCCCAAUCUGGGCACGGAGUUGUUGAGAUCCGGCAGGAAGUCCCUGCUCCAGGGCCAAAGGCCCCACCCGGGCUCCCCCGGAUGUCCCCGCACCCCCCUCUAUUCUCCCAAAAGAAAGAAGCUGCUUCCCACUUUGGAAACGUUUAUUCUGAGCACCGGGAAGGGGGGCGGCGGCGGGCGCCUCACUGGGUGUUGAGCUUCUUAGUGUACUCCUCGAGAGCGCUCAGGAAGCUGACCUUGAAGCUCUCCAGCACGGGCAGCAGGCCCUGGCGGAGGUCCUCGAGCGCGGGCUUGGCCUUCUCGCUGAGCGUGCUCAGAUGCUCGGUGGCCUUGGCGUGGUACUCGGCCAGUCUGGCGCCGCCGUUCUCCUUGAGAGCCUCAAGGCGCGCGGCCAAGCGCUGGCGCAGCUCGUCGCUGUAGGGGGCCAGAUGCGUGCGCAGCGCGUCCACAUGGGCGCGCGCGCGGUCGCGCAUCUCCUCGCCCAGUGGGCUCAGCUUCUCUUGCAGCUCGUGCAGCUUCUGGCGCGCGCCCUCUUGGAGCUCGGCGCGCAGCGGCUCCACCUUCUGGCGGUAGAGCUCCAUCUCCUCCUGCCACUUCUUCUGGAAGUCGUCCAGGUAGGGCUGCACCUUGGCCUUCACCUCCUCCAGAUCCUUGCUCAUCUCCUGCCUCAGGCCCUCUGUCUCCUUUUCCAGGUUAUCCCAGAACUCCUGGGUCACAGGGCCGAGCUGUUCGCGCAGCUUGCUGAAGGUGGAGGUCACGCUGUCCCAGUUGUCAAGGAGCUUUAGGCUGGAGGGUGAGACAGAACGGUUGAGGGCUGGCCUCCCAGCGCCCCAGGCUAUCAGGGGUGAGCCCUGGGUGACACCUGUCCGCGGAGGUGCAGUGGCCUAGCAUUUCCAGUACACUCUCAACCAACACCCCUGCCCCGCCAGGCCAUGCCCCGUUGUGCAGCUGGACCGAGGCACAGAGAGGAGCUAAAAAGGAGACAGAGCUGGGACUGGUGCCCAGUUACGUUGGUCUCCAAAGUGGGCCCUUGAAGGACCUCGCUUCUAUGCCUCCAGCGCAUUCUCCUCUCCGAAGACAGCCCACAGUCUUGCCGGGCAGGAGCAGAGGAGGUGGUGAAGAAGGGAAAGGGGCCUGCUACACUUGCAGGCACAAUGUGGCUCUGUGAUCACGCAUCGGGCAGCCCUGGUCUGUCCUUUGCAGGGGACAUGGGCUGUGACCCUGCCUGGAGAUCCCAUUCCGGUUUCUCCAUCCAGACCAUCUGUGGGGCCCAGCUCAUCAGAUAUUAGGUGAGGACUCGGCCAGUCUGGCUUCAACAUCAUCCCGAACAGGGUUACCAAGUCCUGGCCCUGGAUGCCCUGACAUGUGUAGGAGUGUUGGCAGGAAGUCACACAGGAAGGAAGGUAAAGAGAAACUAGAGAAAAUAAUUUUUGAAGAAAAACAUUUCAGGAAGUAUUGAAAGUACACGGUAACUCAGCCUGGGGCAGGGGUGGAGGGCAGGCCCACUGGAGCCUGCAGCUGUGCCUGGCAUGUUGCUGAGCAUGUCAACAGGCUCUUGGACUUGGAUGGUGACCUGCUGUGACUGAGCAGGCUGCUGCAUACCCAAGCAGGUUAGUGCCACGUUGGGAGGAGAGGAACAGUUCUCAGGUUGCUGCUGAAAGAUUGCACUGCGGGAAGGUAAGCCUUGAAACUGGGAAGAAGAUGCAGCCCCUGGAGAGAAAGGAACCUCAGAGUGACCAAGUGCCCAGGCCACCAGCCAGCCAGAAGUAAUGAGAGCUAAUGAGGAUACUCAGACGACAUACCAGCUAGAACAGUGCUUCUCAAACUGCACUGUGCAUAGGACAAGUCUGGAGAACUUGUUAAACAGAAGAUUCCUGGGUCCUAUCUAUAUAAUUCUGUUUCAAACUCUGAUUCAGUAGGUCAGGAUGGGCCCCUAAGAAUUUGUGUUUCCAACAAGUUCCCUUAAAAGCUGGUCCAUGGAUUACAUGGGGUAACUCGGAUCUAGGCAGUGCUUCUUGAACUUUCACGUGCACACAAAUGGCCUGGCAUCUGGUUAAAAAUGCAGACUCUAGGCCGGGCGUGGUGGCUGACACCUGUAAUCCCAGCACUUGGGAGAACGAGGUGGGCGGAUCAUGAGGUCAGGAGUUCGAGACCAGCCUGGCCACCAUGGCGAAACCCUGUCUCUACUAAAAAUACAAAAAUUAGCUGGGUGUGGUGGCGGGCGCCUGUAAUCCCAGCUACUUGGGAGGCUGAGGCAGGAGAAUCAUUUGAACCCGGAGGUGGAGGUUGCAGUGAGCCGAGAUCAUACCACUGCACUCCAGCCUGGGUGACAGGGGGAGACUCCAUCUCAAAAAAAAAAAAAAACAGACUCUAACAGGUCUGGAAUAUGACCUGAGAUCUUACUUUUUCUCCCGAUAUUGGUGGCUGGGGGACCCCACUUUAAGUAGGAAGAGCCUAGAGGCCAAUUCAGACUCUUCUCAAGGAUCCUAGGAGACUGACUAGGGACGUA
rnacentral:lncRNA from 1 species